rnacentral:lncRNA from 1 species
AAAAACAUUUGUAUAAAAAUAUAGUCUAAAACAUUUCUAAUAUAUGAGUGUUUUGAAAAUUCAACACAAUAAUUAGUAUACAUUUUUUAAAGAAAUUUUUUGUCAUAUAUAAAUUAUUUUAUGUUUGGUAUAAACUUGUUAAAAAUAUAAAUAAUAACUUAACAUACUGUUUUUGAAUCAACAAAAUAUAAAACAAUAAAUAUCUAUAAGAAGAUUAUGCCCACAUAUGCGGGAAAGACACCUAGUUUAUCAGUAAAACAUAACAUAUUUAGCAUUACAAAAUUUUAUUUUUUGAUUGUUAUCGGUAGUUCUGAAUCGUUUAUGUGUGAGAAGAUUCGCUUCUUCGAAAGCUUGUUUCCGUUGGUGAUAUGAACCCAUGAGGACUGUCAUCUUGAGAACAUGGCUUUCUUGUUAAGAAUUGCUUUUACCAAAAAAAAAAAAAAAAAAAAAGAAUUACAUCGUCCGCUCGAUUAUCUUUAUGUGCAGUGACCAACAAAUUUGUAUUGCCCAAAUAAGAGAAAUGCUUUCGGCUUGGCUUCUUUUAUUAAAUGUCGUCCUUUAAAUUGAGAGUGCAUUACCCAUUAAGACACAUUUUCACUUUCUUUACACUAGAAGGCACAUCUUGUCUGUGGGGGACACUUUCACAGACUCCAAGAGACUAUCUGGACAAAAUUGCCCUCCUGUCAAGCCAAAAGAAAGUAACAAGUACGGUUGGAGUUUGUUGAUAAUUAAGAUGACUAGUUAGGAACUUAGGAUUAUAGUUAGCCUAAGGAGACAAUCGUUGGGUUUGUUUAACUUUUUGAAAAGGCAAUACAUAGAUUCAACGAGAAAACAAAAAAAAAAAUAGUGUAGUUAGCUAUUUUUUAGGUCAUUACUUUAUAUUCCCUUGUUUUUAUAUUAGUUUUUUCUCAAAAUUUAAGAUAUAUUAAAAAAAUAUAUAUUGUUAUAAUAAAUUAUAUAUUUUUUGCUCUAUAUUUUAACAUCCAUUUUCAUAUAUAUAUUUAACCUUUAUACAAAAUAAAUAUGUGGACAUGGAUGAAAAGUAUGAACGAACAAAAUGUGGACAUAUAUAAAGAGAAAACAAUGACGAAGAUGUAGAUUUGGAAGUGAAAUGCUUAGUCCUUGGUAAACUCAUAACAGGUAGCCA